rnacentral:tRNA from 7 species
UAGUUCAGUUGGUUAGAAUACCGGCCUGUCACGCCGGGGGUCGCGGGUUCGAGUCCCGUCCGCUCCGCCA